rnacentral:rRNA from 1 species
GACGUCUACGAGUUUGAUCAUGGCUCAGAACGAACGCUGGCGGCAGGCCUAACACAUGCAAGUCGAGCGCCCCGCAAGGGGAGCGGCGGACGGGUGAGUAACGCGUGGGAACGUACCCUUUGCUACGGAAUAGCCUCGGGAAACUGGGAGUAAUACCGUAUGUGCCCUUCGGGGGAAAGAUUUAUCGGCAAAGGAUCGGCCCGCGUUGGAUUAGGUAGUUGGUGGGGUAAUGGCCUACCAAGCCGACGAUCCAUAGCUGGUUUGAGAGGAUGAUCAGCCACACUGGGGCUGAGACACGGCCCAGACUCCUACGGGAGGCAGCAGUGGGGGAUCUUAGACAAUGGGCGCAAGCCUGAUCUAGCCAUGCCGCGUGAGCGAUGAAGGCCUUAGGGUUGUAAAGCUCUUUCAGUGGGGAAGAUAAUGACUGUACCCACAGAAGAAGCCCCGGCUAAACUCCGUG